rnacentral:rRNA from 1 species
UACGGAGGAUGCGAGCGUUAUCCGGAUUUACUGGGUGUAAAGGGAGCGUAGACGGUAAUGUAAGUCUGAUGUGAAAGCCCGGGGCUCAACCCCGGGACUGCAUUGGAAACUAUGUAACUAGAGUACCGGAGAGGUAAGCGGAAUUCCUAGUGUAGCGGUGAAAUGCGUAGAUAUUAGGAGGAACACCAGCGGCGAAGGCGGCUUACUGGACCGUGACUGACGUUGAGGCUCGAAAGCGUGGGGAGCAAACAGG